rnacentral:rRNA from 1 species
UCUAGUGACCGAUAGUGAACCAGUACCGUGAGGGAAAGGUGAAAAGCACCCCGGAAGGGGAGUGAAAUAGAACCUGAAACCGUGUGCUUACAAGUAGUCAGAGCCCGUUAAUGGGUGAUGGCGUGCCUUUUGUAGAAUGAACCGGCGAGUUACGAUUUGAUGCAAGGUUAAGCAGUAAAUGUGGAGCCGUAGCGAAAGCGAGUCUGAAUAGGGCGUUUAGUAUUUGGUCGUAGACCCGAAACCAGGUGAUCUACCCUUGGUCAGGUUGAAGUUCAGGUAACACUGAAUGGAGGACCGAACCGACUUACGUUGAAAAGUGAGCGGAUGAACUGAGGGUAGCGGAGAAAUUCCAAUCGAACCUGGAGAUAGCUGGUUCUCUCCGAAAUAGCUUUAGGGCUAGCCUCAAGUGAUGAUUAUUGGAGGUAGAGCACUGUUUGGACGAGGGGCCCCUCUCGGGUUACCGAAUUCAGACAAACUCCGAAUGCCAAUUAAUUUAACUUGGGAGUCAGAACAUGGGUGAUAAGGUCCGUGUUCGAAAGGGAAACAGCCCAGACCACCAGCUAAGGUCCCAAAAUAUAUGUUAAGUGGAAAAGGAUGUGGCGUUGCCCAGACAACUAGGAUGUUGGCUUAGAAGCAGCCAUCAUUUAAAGAGUGCGUAAUAGCUCACUAGUCGAGUGACACUGCGCCGAAAAUGUACCGGGGCUAAACAUAUUACCGAAGCUGUGGAUUGUCCUUUGGACAAUGGUAGGAGAGCGUUCUAAGGGCGUUGAAGCAUGAUCGUAAGGACAUGUGGAGCGCUUAGAAGUGAGAAUGCCGGUGUGAGUAGCGAAAGACGGGUGAGAAUCCCGUCCACCGAUUGACUAAGGUUUCCAGAGGAAGGCUCGUCCGCUCUGGGUUAGUCGGGUCCUAAGCUGAGGCCGACAGGCGUAGGCGAUGGAUAACAGGUUGAUAUUCCUGUACCACCUAUA